rnacentral:lncRNA from 1 species
UGGGACUGGAAGCGUUCACUAUCAGUGAGAUUUUACAGUAUAAAAAGGGAGAACAGCACCAUGUGAAGGAGCCAAAGUAAAAGGCAAGGAAUGAGAAGAAUAAAAAAUAAAAUAGCUCUUAAGGAUCCACAGUUCAAGUUUCUUUUACUAAGAACCAACAACUUGUACUUUAAGUGACACUUCAUGUGCCAGAGGGUCAGAUUCUGCAGCCACCUGAUUCAGUUCCAGAGGGAUGCAGUCUCCACUAGGACACAACUACACCCUCAAAUACAGGCUCUGCAGUAUGUUGAUGUUGAAUGGUGAGAUAUAAGUCCACAGUGAAUCUGAAUGUGCAGACUGAAACUAUUUCAAACACACUGGCAGUUUUGAACAUGUAUUUAUGGUAAAAAUAAUUCUGGAGUAUCAUGCUCUCUGUAUACACUGAUAGCUUUAUUGGCUUUCUUUUAGCUGUAUUUGAAAGACUUUGAUAGUGCUCUUCAACAGACAGGACCUUGUAGAGCAUGUCACCAUUUUGAUUAUAGUCGUAAGGCGUGGAGUGCUAUAAUCACAGGCUAGGAAGUGGUGCACUGAGUAAAGG